GGCCAGUAUGGUGUAGUGGUUUGAGCAUUAGACUAUGAUCUGGAGACCAGGGUUUGAAUCCCAGUUUGGCCA